GUGGGGAAUAUUGGACAAUGGGGGGAACCCUGAUCCAGCCAUGCCGCGUGGAGGAAGACUGCCCUCUGGGUUGUAAACUCCUUUUAUAUGGGAAGAACCGUCCUCAUUAAUGAGUGACCUGACGGUACCAUAGGAAUAAGCACCGGCUAACUCCGUGCCAGCAGCCGCGGUAAUACGGAGGGUGCAAGCGUUAUCCGGAUUCACUGGGUUUAAAGGGUGCGUAGGCGGAUAAAUAAGUCAGUGGUGAAAUCAACGGGCUCAACCUGUUAACUGCCAUUGAUACUGUGUAUCUUGAAUAUGAGAGAGGUAGGCGGAAUGUUGCAUGUAGCGGUGAAAUGCUUAGAUAUGCUACGGAACACCGAUUGCGAAGGCAGCUUACUAUUUCGUAAUUGACGCUGAGGCACGAAAGCGUGGGUAGCGAACAGGAUUAGAUACCCUAGUAGUCC
rnacentral:rRNA from 1 species